rnacentral:rRNA from 1 species
CAGCCGCCACGGUAAUACGUAGGCGGCAAGCGUUGUCCGGAAUUAUUGGGCGUAAAGGGGGCGCAGGUGGGACGGUAAGUCCGUCUUAAAAGGCAGGGGCUCAGCCCCUGUAAGGGAUGGAAACUAUCGAUCUUGAGUGCCGGAGAGGAAAGCGGAAUUCCCAGUGUAGCGGUGAAAUGCGUAGAUAUUGGGAAGAACACCAGUGGCGAAGGCGGCUUUCUGGACGGCAACUGACACUGAGGCUCGAAAGCCAGGGGAGCGAACGGGAUUAGAGACCCCGGUAGUCCCUGUCUCUUAUACA